UACUAUGGAUAUGAAUAUUUUAUGUCAAAACAGGUAGUAUUUAAACACAAGAUUUCCUCUUCACUUGCCAUUCACUUUCGUUCUCCAUCCUGCUUGAACUCUUGCCAUCUCCAACCUGCAAGGUGAUAUAUUAGAGGAAUAAAACACGUUUUCUUAUUGGGUUGUGUCCUAUUUUCUACAAGACAUGUACAAAUUCAUGGAUUGUUUUUCUCUCAUUCUGCACAAGUAUUCAAUAGUUUAUUCAUGCAAUUUCUUACCACUCUUUUGUCUCCAAACUAAUAGUUUAUUCAUGCAAUUUCUUACCACUCUUUUGUCUCCAAACUAAUAGUUUAUUCAUGCAAUUUCUUACCACUCCUUUGUCUCCAAACUACAGGUUUUCACAACAACUCAUGGGACCAUUAAAGGAAUCACACCAGCAACAUGAAGACACAACAAAAGAAUACAACAAUUAGAAUAUUUCCCAAAAAUUUACAUUUUCUUUUGAAACUUGUAAAUAUAGUUUAACAUGCA